ACGAACGCUGGCGGCUGCUUAACACAUGCAAGUCGAACGGAGUGGCGAACGGGUGAGUAACGCGUGAGCAACCUGCCUAUGACAGUGGGAUAGCCUCGGGAAACCGGGAUUAAUACCGCAUAGUCAUAGAUGGGCUCGCUUGGGAUUAGCUAGUUGGUGAGAUAACAGCCCACCAAGGCGACGAUCAGUAGCCGGUCUGAGAGGCGGAACGGCCACAUUGAAACUGGGACACGGUCCAAACUCCUACGCAAGGCAGCAGUUGGGAAUAUUGCACAAUGGGGGAAACCCUGAUGCAGCGACGCCGCGUGAACGAAGAAGUUAGUCGUAACGUAAAGUUCUGGACUAUGGGAAGCAGUACCAUAGAAGAAAGCACCGGCUAAAUACGUGCCAGCAGCCGCGGUAAUAC
rnacentral:rRNA from 1 species